rnacentral:rRNA from 1 species
UACGUAGGGGCCGAGCGUUGUCCGGAGUUACUGGGCGUAAAGCGCGCGCAGGCGGCUCGCUUUGCCCGGCGUGAAAGCCCCCGGCUCAACCGGGGAGGGUCGUCGGGGACGGGCGAGCUUGAGGCCGGCAGGGGCAGGUGGAAUUCCCGGUGUAGUGGUGAAAUGCGUAGAGAGUCGGGAGGAACACCCGUGGCGAAGGCGGCCUGCUGGGACGUUACUGGACGCUGAGACGCGAAAGCGUGGGGAGCAAACAGG